AACCUCUAUCCUGUUGUUGUAACAAGCAAUCUGUAAUGGUGGGGUGCCAUCAUUACUACAUUUAUUGACAUCAGCUGAAUGUUGUAACAGUACUUUAACAACAUCAACAUGUCCAUUCUGACUUGCUAUAGACAGAGGUGAUACACCAUUAUUGUCACAUUUAUUGACAUCAGCUGAAUGUUGUAACAGUUCUUUAACAACAUCAACAUGUCCAUUCUGACUUGCUACAUACAGAGGUGAUACACCAUUAUUGUCACAUUUAUUGACAUCAGCUGAAUGUUGUAACAGUACUUUAACAACAUCAACAUGUCCAUUCUGACUUGCUACAUACAGAGGUGAUACACCAUUAUUGUCACAUUUAUUGACAUCAGCUGAAUGUUGUAACAGUUCUUUAACAACAUCAACAUGUCCUUUCUCACUUGCUAUAUACAGAGGUGAUACACAAUCAUUACUACACUUAUUGACAUCAGCUGAAUGUUGUAACAGUUCUUUAACAACAUUAACAUAUCCAUUCUGACUUGCUAUAUACAGAGGUGAUACAUCAUCAUUGUUACAUUUAUUGACAUCAGCUGAAUGUUGUAACAGUUCUUUAACAACAUCAACAUGUCCUUCCUGACUUGCUAUAUAAAGUGAAGAACAUCCAUCAUCAUCACAGAGAU